CUACCAUGCAGUCGACGGUAGCACAGAGAGCUUGCUCUCGGGUGACGAGUGGCGGACGGGUGAGUAAUGCCUGGGAAACUGCCCGAUGGAGGGGGAUAACUACUGGAAACGGUAGCUAAUACCGCAUAACGUCUUCGGACCAAAGUGGGGGACCUUCGGGCCUCACACCAUCGGAUGUGCCCAGGUGGGAUUAGCUAGUAGGUGGGGUAAUGGCUCACCUAGGCGACAAUCCCUAGCUGGUCUGAGAGGAUGACCAGCCACACUGGAACUGAGACACGGUCCAGACUCCUACGGGAGGCAGCAGUGGGGAAUAUUGCACAAUGGGCGCAAGCCUGAUGCAGCCAUGCCGCGUGUAUGAAGAAAGCCUUCGGGUUGUAAAGUACUUUCAGUGGGGAGGAAGGCGAUGGAGUUAAUAGCUCCGUCGAUUGACGUUACCCGCAGAAAAAGCACCGGCUAACUCCGUGCCAGCAGCCGCGGUAAUACGGAGGGUGCAAGCGUUAAUCGGAAUUACUGGGCGUAAAGCGCACGCAGGCGGUCUGUCAAGUCGGAUGUGAAAUCCCCGGGCUCAACCUGGGAACUGCAUUCUAAACUGGCAGACUAU
rnacentral:rRNA from 1 species